GCCGCAAUAGCUCAGUCGGUAGAGCACAUCAUUCGUAAUGAUGGGGUCGGGGGUUCGAAUCCCUCUUGCGGCACCA
rnacentral:tRNA from 1 species